UAGCUCAGUCAGUUGAGCGUAGUGCUAACAAUGCUAAGGUUGCAGGUUCGAUUCCUGU
rnacentral:tRNA from 1 species